rnacentral:rRNA from 1 species
AACGAACGCUGGCGGCAGGCUUAACACAUGCAGGUCGAGCGCCCCGCCAGGGGAGCGGCAGACGGGUGAGUAACGCGUGGGAACGUACCUUUUGGUUCGGAACAACUCCGGGAAACUGGAGCUAAUACCGGAUAAGCCCUAACGGGGAAAGAUUUAUCGCCGAAAGAUCGGCCCGCGUCUGAUUAGCUAGUUGGUGAGGUAACGGCUCACCAAGGCGACGAUCAGUAGCUGGUCUGAGAGGAUGAUCAGCCACACUGGGACUGAGACACGGCCCAGACUCCUACGGGAGGCAGCAGAGGGGAAUAUUGGACAAUGGGCGCAAGACUGAUACAGCCAUGACGCGUGAGUGAUGAAGGCCUUAGGGUUGUAAAGCUCUUUUGUCCGGGAAGAUAAUGACUGUACCGGAAGAAUAAGCCACGGCUAACUUCGUG